rnacentral:rRNA from 1 species
GACGAACGCUGGCGGCGUGCCUAAUACAUGCAAGUAGAACGCUGAAGGAGGAUUUUGCUCUUAUGGAUGAGUUGCGAACGGGUGAGUAACGCGUAGGUAACCUGCCUGGUAGCGGGGGAUAACUAUUGGAAACGAUAGCUAAUACCGCAUAACAGUAGAUGUUGCAUGACAUUUACUUCAAAGGAGCAAUUGCAUCACUACCAGAUGGACCUUCGUUGUAUCAGCUAGGUGGUGGGGUAACGGCUCACCAAGGCGACGAUACAUAGGCGAACUGAGAGGGUGAGCUGCCACACUGGGACUGGGACACGGCCCAGGCUCCUACGGGAGGCAGCAGUAGGGAAUCUUCGGAAAUGGACGGGAGUCUGACCGAGCAACGCCGCGUGAGUGAAGAAGGUUUUCGGAUCGUAAAGCUCUGUUGUAAGAGAAGAACGAGUGUGGGAAUGGAAAGUUCACGCUGUGACGGUAUCUUACCAGAAAGGGACGGCUAACUACGUG